rnacentral:rRNA from 1 species
AACGAACGCUGGCGGCGUGUUUAAGACAUGCAAGUCGCACGGUGUCAUUUUGGUAGCAAUACUUGGAUGGCACAGUGGCGCACGGGUGAGUAACACGUGAAUGACAUGCCCUUCAGAGGGGGAUAGCCCAGGGAAACUUGGAUUAAUACCCCAUGGUCUCGCGAGAGUAAAGGUGGCCGCAAGGCUGUCGCUGGAGGAUUGGUUCGCGUUCUAUCAGCUUGUUGGCGGGGUAACGGCCCACCAAGGCUACGACGGAUACCUGGUCUGAGAGGACGAUCAGGCACACUGGAACUGAGACACGGUCCAGACACCUACGGGUGGCAGCAGUCGAGAAUAAUUCACAAUGGGGGCAACCCUGAUGGUGCAACGCCGCGUGGAGGAUGAAGGUCUUCGGAUUGUAAACUCCUGUCAUCCGGGAGCAAGACCUGGCCGUGAAUAGCGGACAGGGUUGAUAGUACCGGAAGAGGAAGGGACGGCUAACUUCGUGCCAGCAGCCGCCGCGGUAA